rnacentral:rRNA from 1 species
GAUUAGAUACCCUGGUAGUCACGCUGUAAACGAUGUCGAUUUGGAGUUUGUUGCCUAGAGUGAUGGGCUCCGAAGCUAACGCGAUAAAUCGACCGCUGGGGAGUACGGCCGCAAGGUUAAAACUCAAAUGAAUUGACGGGGGCCCGCACAAGCGGUGGAGCGUGUGGUUUAAUUCGAUGCAACGCGAAGAACCUUACCUGGUCUUGACAUCCAUAGAAUUCUGCAGAGAUGUGGGAGUGCCUUCGGGAACUAUGAGACAGGUGCUGCAUGGCUGUCGUCAGCUCGUGUUGUGAAAUGUUGGGUUAAGUCCCGCGACGAGCGCAACCCUUAUUCUUUGUUGCCAGCGAUUUGGUCGGGAACUCAAAGGAGACUGCCGUUGAUAAAGCGGAGGAAGGUGGGGACGACGUCAAGUCAUCAUGGCCCUUACGACCAGGGCUACACACGUGCUACAAUGGCGUAUACAAAGGGAAGCGAAGGUGCGAGCUGGAGCGGAUCUCAUAAAGUACGUCUAAGUUCGGAUUGGAGUCUGCAACUCGACUCCAUGAAGUCGGAAUCGCUAGUAAUCGUAGAUCAGAAUGCUACGGUGAAUACGUUCCCGGGCCUUGUACACACCGCCCGUCACACCAUGGGAGUGGGUUGCACCAGAAGUAGAUAGCUUAACCGCGAGGGGGGCGUUUACCACGGUGUGAUUCAUGACUGGGGUGAAGUCGUAACAAGGUAACCA